rnacentral:rRNA from 1 species
AACGAACGCUGGCGGCAGGCUUAACACAUGCAAGUCGAACGCUCGUAGCAAUACGGGAGUGGCGGACGGGUGGGUAACGCGUGGGAACGUGCCCUGAGGUACGGAAUAACUGAGGGAAACUUCAGCUAAUACCGUGUGAGCCCCGAGAGGGGGAAAGAUUUAUCGCCUUGGGAGCGGCCCGCGUCGGAUUAGCUAGUUGGUGGGGUAACGGCCUACCAAGGCUUCGAUCCGUAGCUGGUCUGAGAGGACGAUCAGCCACACUGGGACUGAGACACGGCCCAGACUCCUACGGGAGGCAGCAGUGGGGAAUCUUGCGCAAUGGGGGCAACCCUGACGCAGCCAUGCCGCGUGAACGAUGAAGGCCUUAGGGUUGUAAAGUUCUUUUACCCGUGACGAUGAUGACGGUAACGGGGAAUAAGCUCCGGCUAACUUCGUGCCAGCAGCCGCGUAU